CCUUCUGGCCCGGUUCUGGUGGCUAUAUUCCUUGCCGGCUUAAAGGCUGCAUCCCCCCGAUGUCCCCAUACACCAUCGAGCCUCCCUGGACUUCCGCUAGAUGGCGCGUCGCCCUCAGCCCUGGCCACCUAUCGUUCAGGUAUUAAAAUACCCCCUGGUCUACAAUGGACUAAUCUUUCUCCGUCAAGGAUUUAAAACUAUUCCUUAAUUUUGAUAUUCGAUUUGAUAUUACUAGCUAGCUAGAACUUCCAUACCUGAAUAUAUAACAGAUACACCCUUUGAA